UGAUUCCAGCGAGUUGCCGGAAUUUCUUGGUGGUUCUUGUACUUGUGCCGAUCAUGGAGGAUGCCUUAAAUCUGAUAAGGGUCCAUGGAAGGACCCUAACAUAUUAAAGAUGGUUCUUAGUGGAGAAGCACAAUGUGGCAGACAAAUUGUUACCGUUUCCAAUAGCGAGGGGAAGGUUGUUGCUUAUGCCAAGCCACAAUAUCCAAGGUUGAAGGGUGGUGAUAUUUCGACUGCUGAGUCUGGUUCGGAAGCUGAAGAUGUAUCCUCCCCAAAAGCACCAAGGAGUUACAUUUCACAUCCACAGUUGACCCCUGUUCACGAAGAGGCAAAGUUUGGUGCGAAGGGUUAUGUCGGUUUCCCAGAGAAUAAUGAUAGUAUUCCCAUGGUUGACAAAGCUGUAGUUACAGGAUGGAAGGAAACUUCUAAGCAGAGGACCUCAGCUUCGAAUGGAGCUGUUACUCUCUCUGAAGUGCAUAAAUCUCCUGGAGCUCAAGCUCAAAUUAUGACAUGGCUUAUGACCUUCGUCAUGGCCCUUUUUACUAUGGUCUGUUCAGUCGCGAAUCGUAUGAUUAAGAAGCUCCCAGACAAAACAUUUGAGAAUGAUCACCAGUAUCCUGCAUUUCCCCAAGACAUUAUCUCCAAAGAGGAAUUCCGUCCUCCUUCACCUACUCCAGGGUUCACUGAAGCCGACCUCCUUUCAUCUGUUCUGAG
rnacentral:misc_RNA from 1 species